UCUCUCACGCGGACAAGACGCUGCCAUGGCGGCCCCGAGGACGAUGAGAGCCGUGCAGUACGACAAGUAUGGCGGUGGAGCUGAAGGCCUCAAGCAUGUGGAGGUGCCGGUGCCGUCGCCGAAGAAAGGCGAGGUGCUGCUGAAGAUGGAGGCGGCCAGCAUCAACCCCAUCGACUAGAAGAUCCAGAAGGGCAUGCUCCGCCCCUUCCUCCCCGGCGAGUUCCCCUUCACGCCAGGUACCUAGCUUCAGACUGAGAAAUGGCCACCCAAUUCAGACUUGGUUGCGGCAAUAUUCGCCAAAUAGAGAUGAAAAUCGUGUGAUACCGGCCGGCUUGAUAGCUGAUAAAAUCUCCUCGAUGUCAUUUGGCUAGUGAUUAUGAUCUCGCCCCUUGUCAUAACUAACAUGCUAUGUUUUCUAAAAUCUGUACCAAUUCAAGCACCUAUUGCAGAUUUUUGACAUAACGACUUGAACAUUGCCAGUCCAUCGCCACCCGCGCACGACUUGGAUUCUGCACGUCGCCGCCACUGGAUGCAGUCUACUAGCUCACCUCCGCCACCAUACCUCCUCACCUCUGCCAUCGACAGUCGCCACUGUACUCGAGGUCUCCUGUACAUGCCAUGGCCAGGGGCCCCAACCCCUUAUGCUACCGGAUCCUGGGGUCGCCGCUGGACCCGUCGCCAUCAGCCUCCCUGACCUUCUCUGGUUGCCUGGACAGGACUGCCCUUGCCAUUGAGCGUAACCAGUGCAUGUAUUUCGUCCACGACCAAGCCACUGUGCUCAUCUUCAGUUCCGCGUCCACCAUUUGCAUAACAGUAGCGGUAUGUUGAUGUUCAGAGCACAUGUUCUGUUGAAAAGAUUUCCCAUUUGCCUAAUUAUAUUGCAAUCCUGCAAGUCUAUGAGCCAUGCUCUGAACUGUGAACAUAUACUGAUAAUACAAGUUACUUGGUGCACUAUCAAGGUUCAGGAAAAGGAUGCAGGCUUCCACACGGUGCCUGAAAAAUGCCACUUUCCCAAUCUCGUCUCCGUCCGAGCACGAAGCCGCCGCUGCCCGUCAAUGCUUGGUCAACGACCGACCGAACAACUCUUCCCUCUCCACCACGAGAAGUUCGUCACCUCACGUGCGAGCAGUCCAUCUAUCACCUCCCGCGCAAGCACUCCAUCACCUCACACAGUGUCCGUUCGACAAAGUUUGUCCUUUUGAAGAAGCAGAAAAUGGAGUUUGAAGCAGCCGCGGGCGGGUGGUGGUGUGGUUGCAGAAGAAGAAUCGCUGGUGCAAACUCGUCCAUCUGGCGCUAGCAUACCAGUAUGAUUUGGAGGCGAAGAAUUUGUUGUGUCUCUUACCAUGAAUCCCUAUAGCUAUGGAAACUUGGCUUCCUAUAAAUUUUUAAGAUAUAUCGCUGGCACUUUGUUCCCCAAGUGUGUUUGCAUUAAUGCGUGAGAGGAAACAAUUCUGGGUAAGUAUUCACCUGCGAUUUUCCUAUGCUUUGCACUGCUACGUACAUAGUUUGAAAAUGUAGUUUUGGAGUCCAAUAUGGCUCCAGGUUGAAGUUUGAUGCAUUGCACGUGAUUGUUGUACAUUAUAUCCUACUAUAAAUGCA